UUAAAGGAGGAAAGCUCCUGUAAACUCAGAGUUUCAGUCCAUAAUGGCAGGACGUUUGUAACAGACCAACUCACAUCAUGGUUCCCAGGAAGCAGAGAGAGACAGGGGCUAGGGACAAGAUAUAGACCCCAAGGGCAAGCCCCAAUGACCUACUUCCUCCAGCUAGGUCCCACCUCCUGUAGUUUUCAGAACCUCUCAAAGUAGCACCACCAGCUGGGAAUCAAGCCUUUAGUACUUGAGCUUUUGCAGCAACACUUCAUAGCCAAACCAUAAGAGUGAACUUAAAAGCAUAUGGAAGUACAUGUGGGGAAUGAAGAGAUGAAUUAAGCUGAAGUGGUAAGGAAAAAGGUAGAGCUAUAAAUAUAAAAUAAGGCCUGUCUUACUGACAUUAGGUUCAGACUUAAGGCUAUUCUCCUCUAAUCCUAUUCCACAUUCCAGUUCCACUUUUGAGGAUUCUCUCUUUGCCUUUGUUAUUUUUCCUAAUGAAUAAAUUAUUUUUUGCAGUAUAGGGCCUUGUGCUUGCUAGGCAUUCUCUCUACUACUUGAGUUAUACCCCUAGCCCACUUUGCCUCUUUUUGUGACAUGUUCUCCUUUGGGUUUCAGGAGUGUAAGCGGCCCCCUGAAGCCUUUGGCUUUGAGCAGGCUACCCGGGAAUAUACUCUGCAGAGCUUUGGCGAGAUGGCUGACUCCUUUAAAGCUGACUACUUCAACAUGCCUGUGCACAUGGUGCCCACAGAACUCGUAGAGAAGGAAUUCUGGCGGCUGGUGAAUAGCAUUGAGGAAGAUGUGACUGUCGAGUAUGGGGCUGACAUCCAUUCCAAAGAAUUUGGCAGCGGUUUCCCUGUCAGUGAUAGUAAGCGGCACCUAACCCCUGAGGAGGAGGAGUAUGCUACAAGUGGUUGGAACCUGAAUGUGAUGCCGGUGUUGGAGCAGUCUGUAUUAUGCCAUAUCAAUGCAGAUAUCUCUGGCAUGAAGGUGCCCUGGCUCUAUGUGGGCAUGGUCUUCUCAGCCUUUUGCUGGCAUAUUGAAGAUCACUGGAGUUACUCCAUUAACUACCUCCAUUGGGGUGAACCGAAGACCUGGUAUGGGGUACCCUCGCUUGCAGCAGAACAUUUGGAAGAAGUGAUGAAGAAGCUGACACCUGAGCUCUUUGAUAGCCAGCCUGACCUCCUGCACCAACUCGUCACCCUCAUGAAUCCUAAUACCCUCAUGUCUCAUGGCGUGCCGGUUGUUCGCACAAACCAGUGUGCAGGAGAAUUCGUCAUCACCUUUCCCCGUGCUUACCACAGUGGCUUCAACCAAGGCUACAACUUUGCUGAGGCUGUCAAUUUUUGUACUGCUGACUGGCUGCCAGCUGGGCGCCAAUGCAUCGAGCACUACCGCCGGCUCCGAAGAUACUGUGUCUUCUCUCAUGAGGAACUCAUCUGCAAGAUGGCUGCCUGCCCUGAGAAGCUGGACCUGAAUCUGGCAGCAGCUGUACAUAAAGAAAUGUUCAUCAUGGUGCAAGAGGAGCGGCGUCUACGAAAGGCUCUGUUGGAGAAAGGUAUCACCGAAGCUGAGCGAGAGGCUUUUGAGCUGCUCCCAGAUGAUGAGCGUCAGUGCAUCAAGUGCAAGACCACAUGCUUCCUGUCUGCCCUGGCCUGCUAUGACUGCCCAGAUGGCCUUGUCUGCCUUUCCCACAUUAAUGACCUCUGCAAGUGCUCCAGUAGCCGGCAGUACCUACGGUAUCGGUACACCUUGGAUGAGCUCCCUGCCAUGCUGCAUAAGCUGAAGGUUCGGGCCGAGUCCUUUGACACCUGGGCCAACAAAGUGCGAGUGGCUCUGGAGGUGGAAGAUGGGCGGAAACGCAGCCUUGAAGAGCUGAGGGCACUAGAGUCUGAGGCCCGUGAGCGGAGGUUUCCUAACAGCGAGCUGUUGCAGCAACUGAAGAAUUGCCUGAGCGAGGCAGAGGCUGUGUGUACCCGGCUCUGGGACUAGUCAGUAGACAGGAAGCUGGCCCCCACAGGGUGGCUGGUGUACAAAUGACCUUGGCUGAGCUUCGGGCCUUUCUGGACCAGAUGAUCAACUUGCCUUGUGCCAUGCAUCAGAUUGGGGAUGUCAAGGGCAUUCUGGAACAGGUGGAGGCCUACCAGGCUGAGGCCCGUGAGGCCCUGGCCUCACUGCCUUCCAGUCCAGGGCUACUGCAGUCCCUGUUGGAGAGGGGGCGGCAGCUGGGGGUAGAGGUACCUGAGGCCCAGCAACUCCAGCGGCAGGUGGAACAGGCGCGGUGGCUGGAUGAGGUAAAACGCACGCUGGCCCCCUCCCGAAGGGGCACCCUGGCUGUCAUGCGGGGUCUGUUGGUGGCGGGUGCCAGUGUAGCCCCUAGCCCUGCUGUGGAUAAGGCCCGGGCUGAGCUGCAGGAGCUACUGACCAUUGCUGAACGCUGGGAGGAGAAAGCCCACCUUUGCCUGGAGGCCAGGCAGAAGCAUCCACCAGCCACACUUGAGGCCAUAAUCCUGAAGCAGAAAACAUCCCUGUUCACCUGCCCAACAUCCAGGCUCUCAAGGAGGCUCUUGCUAAGGCCCGAGCAUGGAUUGCUGAUGUGGAUGAGAUCCAAAGUGGUGACCACUACCCUUGCUUGGAUGACUUGGAGGGCCUAGUGGCUGUGGGCCGGACCUCCCUGUGGACUGGAGGAACUGAGACAGCUUGAGCUGCAGGUACUGACAGCACACUCCUGGAGGGAGAAGGCCUCCAAGACCUUCCUCAAGAAGAACUCUUGCUACACGCUACUGGAGGUAAGGCCUGGGCUCUGCCCGUGUGCAGACGCCGGCUCAGACAGUACCAAGCGCAGCCGGUGGAUGGAGAAGGAGCUGGGUUGUACAAAUCUGACACAGAGCUGCUGGGGCUGUCUGCGCAGACCUCAGGACCAGGCUCUGUGGUAAGGAGCUUAGACACAGUGGAUCUGGCCUUCAAGGAGGGGGAACAGAAGGAGAAGGAGGGUAUCCUGCAACUACGUCGCACCAACUCAGCCAAGCCCAGUCCACUGGCAUCAUCUACCACGGCCCUCCUCUGCAACCUCUAUCUGCGUGUGUGGGCAAGUGCCAGCAGGGGUGGGAGUCUUCAGUGUGACCUGUGUCAGGACUGGUUCCAUGGGCGCGGUGUGACUGUGCCCCGCCUCCUCAGCUACCCAAGGCCCAGUCCCGCCUCAUCCCCACUGCUGGCCUGGUGGGAAUGGGACACCAAUUCCUGUGUCCACUGUGCAUGCGCUCAAGCGCCCACGCCUGGAGACCAUCCUGGCACUGCUGGUAGCUCUGCAGAGACUGCCUGUGCGGCUGCCGAGGCGAAGCUUGCAGUGCCUCACAGAGAGGGCCAUCAGCUGGCAAGCCGUGCCAGACAGGCUCUGGCCUCUGAGGACGUGACUGCUCUGUUGGACAGCUGGCGGAGCUCCGCCAAACGGCUACAGACUGAAACCCAGGCCUGAGGAGCCUUCCUAUCUACUCUUCAGAGCUCGCCUCUGACUCUCUCAGAGAGGGCAAUGGCAAAGGAUUAUUGCACGUCCAGGGCUUGUUCGAGAAUUGGAGACAGCGUGACCAGUCUGAGAAGGUAGCCACGGAGGAGGGCUCAGAUCUGGAGCUGCUGUCCUCGCUGUUGCCACAGUUAACUGGCCCCAUGUUAGAACUGCUAGGCACCCGGGCCCCCCUGGAGGAGCUCAUGAUGGAGGGAGACCUGCUUGUGUGACCCUAGAUGAGAAUCACAGCAUUUGGCAAGCUGUUGCAGGCUGGACAGCUCCAGACAUGGAGCGGAUCCACACACUUCUAGAGGACUGGCAGCCACCUUUUGCUGUGGAAGUAGACAACUUCAGGUUCACUCCCCGAAUCCAGAGGCUGAAUGAGCUAGAGGCCCAGACGAGAGUGAAACUGAACUACUUGGACCAGAUUGCCAAAUUCUGGGAAAUCCAGGGCUCAUCCUUAAAGAUUCCCAAUGUAGAACGGCGGAUCUUGGACCUCUACAGCCUCAGCAAAAUUGUGGUGGAAGAAGGUGGUUAUGAAGCCAUUUGCAAGGACCGUCGAUGGGCCCGGGUGGCCCAGCGCCUCAACUACCCACCAGGCAAAAACAUUGGUUCGCUGCUACGCUCUCACUAUGAACGCAUCGUUUAUCCCUAUGAGAUGUACCAGUCAGGAGCCAACCUUGUGCAGUGUAACACACGUCCAUUUGAUAAUGAGGAGAAGGACAAGGAAUACAAACCCCACAGCAUCCCCCUUCGACAGUCUGUGCAGCCUUCCAAGUUCAAUACCUAUGGUCGGCGGGCCAAGAGACUUCAGCCUGAUCCGGAACCCACAGAGGAAGACAUUGAAAAGAAUCCAGAGCUGAAGAAGUUACAGAUCUAUGGGGCAGGCCCCAAGAUGAUGGGCCUGGGCCUCAUGGCCAAAGAUAAGACUCUGCGGAAAAAAGAUAAGGAAGGGCCUGAGUGUCCCCCCACUGUAGUGGUGAAGGAGGAAUCAGGUGGGGAUGUCAAGGUGGAGUCAGCUUCACCCAAGACCUUCCUGGAAAGCAAGGAGGAACUGAGUCACAGCCCAGAGCCCUGCACCAAGAUGACCAUGAGGCUGCGGAGGAACCACAGCAAUGCUCAGUUUAUCGAGUCAUAUGUGUGCCGAAUGUGUUCCCGAGGGGAUGAGGAUGACAAACUCCUGCUGUGUGAUGGCUGUGAUGACAACUACCACAUCUUCUGCCUGCUGCCUCCUUUGCCUGAGAUACCGAAAGGUGUCUGGCGGUGCCCAAAGUGUGUCAUGGCGGUAAGGCCUCCCCAGCCCCAGUCCACAUGGGGUGUCCUUGCCUUCCUUCAUCUGACCUUACUGAGGGCAGGCUCCUAGCUCAAUUACAGUCUUAUGUUUUGGGUCCCUGGGAUGGAGCUAAGCUGGGCAGAGUUUUGGGAGAAACUGGAAGAGGAAACCCAAGCUUUGCUUCAGUCCUCUGGGAGUUCCCAGACCACCACCUGUGGGGUAGUAAGUGUUAUGAUUAGACAGACUGUGGUGGCAUAUUAAGCAAAUGCUAAAUUGGAUGUUAGAAACUCUGAGGUGUAGCAAGUGAGCAGAGAGGAAAAUUACUAAGUAGUUAGGGAAGAUGCCAGAAAUGAGCUUUGAAGGAUAGGAAUAAUUUUGUUUUGUUUUGUUUUAAAGACCAGGGUAUCAUCAUGUAGCUCAGGCUGCCUCGAACUCUUGAUCCUCCUGUCUCAGCCUCCCAAGUGCUGGGAUUACAGGCAUGUAUACCAUACCUGUCUAGGAAUAAAAUUUUUUUAGAAUGCUCUUCUGAUUCCAAGUUUUUUUUAUUCGAUGU